rnacentral:rRNA from 1 species
GACGAACGCUGGCGGCGUGCUUAACACAUGCAAGUCGAACGGAAAGGCCCUGCUUUUGUGGGGUGCUCGAGUGGCGAACGGGUGAGUAACACGUGAGUAACCUGCCCUUGACUUUGGGAUAACUUCAGGAAACUGGGGCUAAUACCGGAUAGGAGCUCCUGCUGCAUGGUGGGGGUUGGAAAGUUUCGGCGGUUGGGGAUGGACUCGCGGCUUAUCAGCUUGUUGGUGGGGUAGUGGUUUACCAAGGCUUUGACGGGUAGCCGGCCUGAGAGGGUGACCGGCCACAUUGGGACUGAGAUACGGCCCAGACGCCUACGGGAGGCAGCAGUGGGGAAUAUUGCACAAUGGGCGGAAGCCUGAUGCAGCAACGCCGCGUGCGGGAUGACGGCCUUCGGGUUGUAAACCGCUUUCGCCUGUGACGAAGCGUGAGUGACGGUAAUGGGUAAAGAAGCACCGGCUAACUACGUG